rnacentral:rRNA from 1 species
AGAGUUUGAUCCUGGCUCAGGAUGAACGCUGGCGGCGUGCCUAACACAUGCAAGUCGAACGAAGCUUGACGGAUGAUUUCUUCGGAAUGAAACCUGAUAUGACUUAGUGGCGGACGGGUGAGUAACACGUGAGCAACCUGCCUUUCAGAGGGGGAUAACGGCUGGAAACGGUCGCUAAUACCGCAUGACGUGUUCGGAUGGCAUCAUCUGAACAUCAAAGAUUUAUCGCUGAAAGAUGGGCUCGCGUCUGAUUAGAUAGUUGGUGGGGUAACGGCCUACCAAGUCUACGAUCAGUAGCCGGACUGAGAGGUUGAACGGCCACAUUGGGACUGAGAUACGGCCCAGACUCCUACGGGAGGCAGCAGUGGGGAAUAUUGGGCAAUGGGCGCAAGCCUGACCCAGCAACGCCGCGUGAAGGAAGAAGGCUUUCGGGUUGUAAACUUCUUUUACCAGGGACGAAGGACGUGACGGUACCUGGAGAAAAAGCCACGGCUAACUACGUGCCAGCAGCCGCGGUAAUACGUAGGUGGCAAGCGUUAUCCGGAAUUACUGGGCGUAAAGAGUGAGCAGGCGGUUAGAUAAGUCUAUGGUUAAAUGCAACAGCUCAACUGUUGUUCGCUAUAGAAACUAUUUAACUAGAGUGCGGGAGAGGUAAGUGGAACUCCAUAUGUAGCGGUGGAAUGCUUAGAUAUAUGGAAGAACACCAGAGGCGAAGGCGGCUUACCAGUCCGUAACUGACGCUCAGUCACGAAAGCGUGGGGAGCAAAUAGGAUUAGAUAUCCUAGUAGUCCACGCCGUAAACGAUGAGAACCUGAUGCAGGAGAUAUUCUGUGUCGAAGCUAACGCGUUAAGUUCUCCGCCUGGGUACUACGUUCGCAAGAAUAAAACUUAAAGGAAUUGACGGGCGCCCGCACAAGCAGUGGAGCAUGGGGUUUAAUUCGUCGAUACACGAAAAACCUUACCAGGGCUUGACAUCCCGCUAAAAGCCUUAGAAAUAAGGAAAUAGUUAUAGCGGUGACAGGUGGUGCAUGGUUGUCGUCAGCUCGUGCCGUGAGGUGUUAGGUUAAGUCCUCAAACGAGCGCAACCCUUGUCUUUAGUUGCCAUUAUUAAUUUAGGAACUCUAGAGAGACUGCCGGCGCAAGCCGGAGGAAGGCGGGGAUGACGUCAAAUCAUCAUGCCCUUUAUGCCCUGGGCCACACCCGUGCUACAAUGGUCGGUACAAAGAGAAGCAACACUGUGAGGUGAAGCAAAUCCCAUAAAGCCGAUCUCAAUUCGGAUUGAAGUCUGCAACUCGACUUCAUGAAGCUGGAAUUGCUAGUAAUCGCAGAUCAGCAACGCUGCGGUGAAUACGUUCUCGGGCGUUGUACACACUGCCCGUCACACCAUGAGAGCCGGUAAUACUCGAAGUCGUUAGCCUAACCGUAAGGAGGGCGGCGCCUAAGGUAGGACUGGUGAUUGGGGUUAAGUCGUAACAAGGUAUCCCUACGAGAACGUGGGGAUG